rnacentral:rRNA from 1 species
AGCGAACGCUGGCGGCAGGCUUAACACAUGCAAGUCGAACGCACCUUCGGGUGAGUGGCAGACGGGUGAGUAACACGUGGGAACGUGCCCUUCGGUUCGGAAUAACUCAGGGAAACUUGAGCUAAUACCGGAUACGCCCUCAGGGGGAAAGGUUUACUGCCGAAGGAUCGGCCCGCGUCUGAUUAGCUAGUUGGUGGGGUAACGGCCUACCAAGGCGACGAUCAGUAGCUGGUCUGAGAGGAUGAUCAGCCACACUGGGACUGAGACACGGCCCAGACUCCUACGGGAGGCAGCAGUGGGGAAUAUUGGACAAUGGGCGAAAGCCUGAUCCAGCCAUGCCGCGUGAGUGAUGAAGGCCUUAGGGUUGUAAAGCUCUUUUAUCCGGGAAGAUAAUGACUGUACCGGAAGAAUAAGCCCCGGCUAACUUCGUGCCAGCAGCCGCCGCGGUAACAC